rfam:Pseudanabaena biceps PCC 7429 scaffold_00199, whole genome shotgun sequence.
GCGGAACUGGCGGAAUUGGUAGACGCGCAUGUUUCAGGUACAUGUGUUGAAAGACUUGGGGGUUCAAGUCCCCCGUUCCGCA